ensembl:lncRNA
GUCGCAACGAGUGUUCGAAUAUCUGAGCAGAAUCAGACUUUUGGAUUUAUUCAUUUGCAGACAUUAAUUGGAGAUUGCUGGCAGUGUGCGUGUUGCAAGACAUACUUUGAAACACUUCGGAGAAAGUACAAUUUGUCUCAGCCAGAAAAGUCCCAGCUAAGAGAUGCCAUUAAAACAGGAGCUAAAAACCGACAAAGGAAAAGACGGGUAAGUGUAGAAAUUCAUCAACUUGUCUUUAAAGGGAUAGUUCACCCCAAAUUGAAAAUUCUGUUAUUUUCUUCUGAUAACCACAAAAGAAAAUAUUUUUAGGAAUGUUUGAAAUCAAACUGAUCAUGAGCUCCAAUCACUUCCAUAGUAUUUUUUUUCUACUUUAAAGUCAAUGGGGCUCAUGAUUGGUUGGAUUAUAAACAUUCCAUCUUUUGUGGUUAUCAGAAGAAAAUAACAAUUUUCAAUUUGGGGUGAACUAUCCCUUUAGGCCAAAACCAAUCAAGUCACUAUGCUAUGAGGGCUUGGGUUGGGCUAAAUGAAAACCGUGACCAAUCAAAUACUAGUAUCAGGAAAUUGACAGGUCACUGUCCCAAUAGUUGUCAGGGUUUGGGGUGUGUUUUUUUAAAACAACCAAUCAAUGUUGAGAAAAAACACCAAUAAGGACAGCAGAGGUGUGUCAAGGUGUGAAGUGAAAGGGCUCUUGAGGUGUGAAAAUGUCUCCUGACAACAUUCUUCAGGGGAUUACUUGCCAUGGCAACAAAUGGCUGCAUAUACCACGGGGAUAUCCCUUCAGCAAGAUACAUCCGAAUUGGUAUCAUUACGGGAGUUUCCUAACUUGGUGGAAUUAGAAGUUUACCCUCAGUGGAACUAGUAGAUACUUCCGAAAAUCAGUGGAG